rnacentral:lncRNA from 1 species
GGUUAAGCCACUUAGCCAUGGAGGCAAGUGAAUGUGCAACAAGGGAUCUUUAACCUUCGAACUGUUUGAGGGAGAAUACUCUAUGAUAUGAUUAAGAAUCUCUGGCCAAAGUAUGAAUGAGAUUUAGGAAGUCGUUCCAAAUCACAUUUAAGGUAAUCAUAUUAAUAAAUGAAUCAUAUUGGAUAGUAGACAUGAAUAAAUUAUCAAACCAAAUAAUGUGGUCAAGAGUAUUGUAUUAGAGAAAGACCGUAUUGCAUUGGAAUCCUAAACUGAAUAGGUUCUCCACCUUUUCUAAUUAGCUUGGGUAGCCAUGACAUACUGCUAGGUGUCACUUAUGGUUUGUGGAAGCCCUAAAGGUGUAUAAUCACUAAAGGGAGAAUUGAAAGUAAGUUUCAAUUCACGAUCGAUUUGAAGAGUUCUAAUCGCCCACUGCCUCGUUAAAAGGAAUCUAAUGGAUCGCACACCGUGUAAGGUAAUGAUUGAAGGAUCUAACGAAGAUGCAUAAGGACAAUUAAAUAGUUUAAUUGCAUAUGGCAAGGAUUAAUUAAAAGUUAAUUAAUUUAGAACAAAAUGUUCGUUUUAGGCCUUAAGUUAGUUUUGGGUUUCGGGACACAACAAAGGUUUUGGUCCACAAUGCACAUAAGGUUUAAGUUGUGUGACAACUAAAACAAAAUGGGCAAUUAACCCAUUAAAAAUAGGGAGGCCGGCCAUUGCUUAGAGAGGGAGUGGGUUUUGGACUUAUUACAAGUUUGCCACUCCAUUGAAGGUAGUUAUAAAUGUGACUUUAUAGCUGUUUCUUCAUUAGUGGUUUUCUUGAGAAAAUUGGAGAGAACAAAAGCUCUCUUUUUUCUCUCUAGGAGGCCGGCCACCAUGGGGGAAUUUACUAGCAUCUAAUUCUUCCAUGGCCACUCAUCUUCUUCCUUAACCAUCUUUGGUAUCGAAACUUAGAGGUCUCCAACUUUAGGGACUUUCGAAGAACCCAAUUCUUCCAUCCAUAUCCAAGAAGACAUGGAGCGAAGAAGCAAAGUUCCUCCAUCCAAAUCCGUGGAGCCAAGGAGUAAGGUGGCAAAGGAAAGAAGGCCCUCACAUGGGUGAUUAACCUUUGCUAAGCAAAGAGGUGCUUCAAAGGUAUAAAGUUUCACAACUCACUUUGUUUUGAGUUGAGUCUUGGUUCACCAUAACUACUAGGCUUUGAUUCAUGGGUUAAGUUUUGUUUUUGAGUGCAUACAAGCAUGAUUCCACCUUUUAAUUGUUAAUAACAUGCAUAGAUGUUGCUCAAAUGAACUGGUUUUCACAAAUAUUUCCUUCAAAGGAGAGAGAGAAAGUUUGAUGUAACUCUAAGUUGUAUAUUACCUUACGCCAUUGUGCCUCUAUUUAUAGUAGUAGGAAAGCUAAAAUCCUUAGCCAAUAAGUAUUACAACUUAGACAAGAUACUAUCUCAAAGAUAAGAUAUUGUAGAAACUUAUAAGGAUUUCCAGGAUUUACACAAUCACAUUCCUAACGAAAUCAGGACUGCAACACAAAGAUUACUAGUUAAAGCCAUCCCAUUAAAUGUUAUACGCUUAAAUAAUAAGUCUAAAGAAAAUGUAAUUCAAAAAAUGUAUAAAGAAGUUGGAUUCAUGAGACCUUUCUAUUUCAUACACAUAAACCUAAAUGUUCAUGAUCACAAAAUUACCAAUUGGGCAUUAACAAUCCGGAUAGAUCAGUACAUCAUAUGUUUUCCUCUUUGAGAGCGACUGGUCAUGGGUUAUUGGUGUGGAUGACACCAAGACAAGUAUGUAGGUCUUCAAUUGAGAGUGGGUCUAUUUAACGCAAUCAACCAUAAUUUCUCAUACUCAUGUCAUCUGAGAACUCACUAGUUAAGAUAAUAAAAAGUAGUUCAUUGAACUGAGAUAUCAUAGUUGUCUUGUGGUUAGGUCCUUAAUCUUUGAUUGUGUUAACAACAUUCCAUUUGAGGGUGUACACAACAUAGUUGGAGUUAAGUUACUUAAUCUUGUAGGCAUGUGAAUGUACAACAAGGGAUCUCUAACCUUCAAGCAAUUAAAGGAAAAUACUCUAUGAUAUGAUUAAGAAUCUCUAGCCAGAGUAUGAAUGAGAUUUAGGAAAUCAUUCCAAAUCACAUUCAAGGUAAUCAUAUAGAUAAAGAAUGACAUCGAAUAAUAGAUGUGGGACCAUGAUUUUCCAGGACCAGAGUAAGGUGGAUCAUAAUACAAAUACCUAAGAUGUCGAGUCAUAGAAUCAACAACUUCUGCUGCGGUGUUACAUACACA